UAGCAUGGAGUGGUUUCGAUCCACCGAUAUGUGCGUUAUGGGCCCAGCACCCUUCCACUGCGCCAGGCAGCU